AUUGAACGCUGGCGGCAUGCCUUACACAUGCAAGUCGAACGGCAGCCCGGGAGCAAUCCUGGUGGCGAGUGGCGAACGGGUGAGUAAUAUAUCGGAACGUGCCCAGUCGUGGGGGAUAACGCAGCGAAAGCUGUGCUAAUACCGCAUACGAUCUAAGGAUGAAAGCGGGGGAUCGCAAGCCCUCGCGCGAUUGGAGCGGCCGAUAUCAGAUUAGCUAGUUGGUGGGGUAAAGGCCCACCAAGGCGACGAUCUGUAGCUGGUCUGAGAGGACGACCUGCUACACUGGAACUGAGACACGGUCCAGACUCCUACGGGAGGCAGCAGUGGGGAAUUUUGGACAAUGGGCGCAAGCCUGAUCCAGCAAUGCCGCGUGCAGGAUGAAGGCCUUCGGGUUGUAAACUGCUUUUGUACAGAACGAAACGGCCCUUUCUAAUACAGGGGGCUAAUGACGGUACCGUAAGAAUAAGCACCGGCUAACUACGUGCCAGCCGCCGCGGUAA
rnacentral:rRNA from 1 species